CCUACGGGUGGCAGCAGUGAGGAAUAUUGGUCAAUGGGCGCGAGCCUGAACCAGCCACGUAGCGUGAAGGAUGACUGCCCUACGGGUUGUAAACUUCUUUUAUAAAGGAGUAAAGUGAGGCACGUGUGCCUUUUUGUAUGUACUUUAUGCAUAAGGAUCGGCUAACUCCGUGCCAGCAGCCGCGGUAAUACGGAGGAUCCGAGCGUUAUCCGGAUUUAUUGGGUUUAACGGGAGCGUAGAUGGGUGGUUAAGUCAGUUGUGAAAGUUUGCGGCUCAACCGUAAAAUUGCAAUUGAUACUGGCAGCAUUGAGUACAGUUGAGGUAGGUGGAAUUCGUGGUGUAGCGGUGAAAUGCGUAGAUAUUACGAAGAACUCCGAUUGCGAAGGCAGCCUACUAAACUGCCACUGACAUUGAUGCUCGAAAGUGUGGGUAGCAAACAGGAUUAGAUACCCUAGUAGUC
rnacentral:rRNA from 1 species